UGAAAUAAUCAUGUUUUGCCUGUGCAGUAUUAUUCUCAUGCUCGCAAGCUUGCAAUGUAUUAUUCGAGUAUAGGAAUUUCUACGGAUAUCUCACGCCUACGUUAACGUACAACGUUAAGAACCUGAAGACUUUUGAUUAUUAUUGGCUAAGUAUGCGCCGAGCAAGAGACGUGAUUGGGUGGAGCGGACGACGACCCCCCCCUCCUUGCGCCUCGCGUCGAUUAGCUUGUGACUCUUCUCGUUUACUAAUAGAAGUGGGUUUCGGGAGGUCGUAGAAAAGUGAAGGCUACACUGAAGGACUACACAGAACGACAGACUUCUUCUGAGCAACGGACAGUAUAUGUAUAUGUAUAUACAUGUGUACCCAUCUACACGUAUGCGUAACAUACCAUAUAAUUUUUAAUAAAGGUGUACAUGUGUAUUUCGAUAUACGUGUAAGUACUCGUGUAUUUUGGUAUACGGUGAGUGCA